UACCUUGAAGCCCAUUAGAAUGGGUUGAGCAGCCAAGAAGGCCCCUCUUGGCCUUAUAUAAUGACAGUAUUGAGCCUCAGACGGAGAGAAGUAUUUGAGCUCUUCCUCCUCCAUAUUACCAGGAAGCCUAGUCCUCUGUCUCCAAGCAAUCACUCUUCGAAAUAGUCUUUCUAAUCAGACAGAGCUUUUUCCUUGCUAACAUGAAGCCACGCUUGGCUCAGGUCUGGCUGCUUGGAGUCUGUCUUUUGCUCUGCCUCAGCUGUGGAGCAAAUGCCUUAAUCUGUAGUGUGUGCAAUUCAGAGGGUGAAGGACAGCCAUGUGUACCAGUUGCCCCAUAUGUACAAAAAUGCCCUGAUGAUCCACGUACAGGACAUCCUGCAGCCUGCGUCUUGUACAGAAUCUCUUCAAUGGUAACUAAACAUGUGUUGCGCUACUACAAAGGAUGCGGCUUCUAUGCC